rnacentral:hammerhead_ribozyme from 1 species
AUCUAACUGACGAGUCCCAGGUAGGACGAAACGCGUAUUGUAGAU